UACAGAGGGUGCGAGCGUUAAUCGGAUUUACUGGGCGUAAAGGGCGUGUAGGUGGGUGAAUGAGUCAGACGUGAAAGUCCUGGGCUUAACCUGGGGAUUGCGUUUGAUACUGUUUAUCUAGAGUUGAGUAGAGGGUAGUGGAAUUUCCGGUGUAGCGGUGAAAUGCGUAGAUAUCGGAAAGAACACCGGUGGCGAAGGCGGCUACCUGGACUCGAACUGACGCUGAGGCGCGAAAGCAUGGGGAGCGAACAGG
rnacentral:rRNA from 1 species